UGAGGCCUCUCUUUGGCCUGCAGACGCUGCCCUCUCGCUGUGUCCUCGCGUGGUCGUUUCCCUGUGCGUGUGCUCAUAAAAGAUCGACCUGGAGUGAACCAACAACCAUAGCUAGUAUCUUCAUAGAUGUUGCCAGCGUUUGUCUGCCAGACAACUUGGUGUAGAGAAUCACCAUGUUGAGAGCAGGGACAGUGUACCACCUUCAGAUGUCUGACAGCUGUGCACAGACGUCCACUAGGUGUUUGUUGACAGCCCAUCUGAAUACUGCCUUUUUAAGGCCUCAUAACUCCUUAGUAGCCCAGUCAGGUCCGGGUAUGUUUCCAUGAGGCCACUCUCAUCUCCUGAAAUAGAGAGAGUGGAACAGUAAGUAUGGAAAAUGUCUCUCUUUUUAAACACAGAGUGGAUGAUUGAAAACAAUGACUUAUUCAAUAAUC